AGCAGCCGCGGUAAUUCCAGCUCCAAUAGCGUAUAUUAAAGUUGUUGCAGUUAAAAAGCUCGUAGUUGAAUUUCGGGGUUAGUAGGCUGGUCGUGCCACAGGUAUGCACUGGUCUUACUGACUUCUCCUUUCUGAAGAACUGUAAUGCCAUUAAUUUGGUGUUGCAGGGAAACAGGACUGUUACUUUGAAAAAAUUAGAGUGUUUAAAGCAGGCUAACGCUUGAAUACAUUAGCAUGGAAUAAUGAAAUAGGACGUUCGAUCCUAUUUUGUUGGUUUCUAGGAUUGACGUAAUGAUUAAUAGGGAUAGUUGGGGGCAUUAGUAUUCAAUUGUCAGAGGUGAAAUUCUUGGAUUUAUUGAAGACUAACUACUGCGAAAGCAUUUGCCAAGGAUGUUUUCAUUAAUCAAGAACGAAAGUUAGGGGAUCGAAGACGAUCAGAUACCGUCGUAGUCUUAACCAUAAACUAUGCCGACUAGGGAUCGGAUGAUGUUAAUUUUUUAAUGACUCA
rnacentral:rRNA from 1 species